rnacentral:lncRNA from 1 species
UUCUUUUCGAAAGAAAGACAUAACUUUUUUGUUAUAAAAGAUAAACACAAAUUGUUUUUUGUUAAAUAAUCGUUAAUUUCUGUAUUUUAUAAGUAUCUUAAAAAAAAUAUGCAUUUUUUUAUUUAGAAAUAACUCAUAUCUAUCAAAUGUUCAUGAAUUGAGGAAAAACGUCAUAUUUUGCUGCAUGUUUAUCAACAUUAAAAAAAAUCCUCUAUUUACAGUUUUAUAAAUUUGGGUCACAUAUCUCCUGCAAAAUGAAACAAAUUGCCGUUUUGAAAAAUAGGGGUCCAUGAACUCGUUUUCAAGAUAAAUCAGUUUGAAUGAUAAAAAUCAGUCGAAAAAUGCAUCUUUUCCCGAUAUGUCACAGUUUGACGGCACGAAAAUAACAUUUUACGUUAGCAACGUCAUUAUCUCCCCUGUAACUGUAUCGUAUGCCCUUAA